AGCAAUAAGAUCCCAGAUCUGACCGAAAUUUAGAGUGGGAUUCUCAGUGGGGAUGGGAAUUGCAAGUUUUCCCCCUCUGAUCUUUCUCUUUGCACAUGUUUUGGUUUAGAGCAGACAAGGGGAGGCUUCCGUGCAAAACAGCAAAUAAGAGUGAAGUACUAUAUGGGAAUUGCUAAGUCACAGCCUGAACCAAUGAUUGAGCACCUGGUGGAAGGACACAGCCAGCCCUGGGAGCACAGGUGAAAGCAAUUCACCCGCAUGACUGGAAUGGGUGGAACCAGGUUCUCUAAGCCUCAUUUAAGGGCUGGCUGGCCUAGGGAAGGCUUCUCUACCUGGAGAUCCCUCCUUUUGGAGUAUGUGGUGAGCUCUGACCCUUGGGAUAGCCCUCACAAUGCCCGUACCUUCACCUGGACAAUUAAGUCUGGAAGUAUCUACUUAUUUCCUAUUCCAAGAUACAGCCUUCUUGUGUUUGCUUCUCUAAAAAGGAGGACGUCUCCCUGCGCCACAACCACCAGCUCCCAAAGGAGUCUGCAAACACCCCACCUGGACCUACCUCUCCAUGAGCCCCAUCCCUUUGCCUGCCCUCCCAGCUCUAUCAUCUGCUGCGGCCUCCUGCUUUUGGCAUAGCUCACUGAUUAAUUGUUAAUUAGCAACUGGUUUGCAGCACUUUGCUGGCACAAAGGUCUGGCAUGGGCCAGGACCAUCUGCUCAGGUGAUGAGCUCAGCUCCUCAUCUCCCCAUUUUGACAGGGAAGGGGAAAAGAAAUUACAGUCCUUGUGCUUAACCCCUCCAGCCAGUGUUGCUUGUGCUGCCUCGUUAUGCCCAAGUUAAAGCCCACUUUCCUCCAUGACUGGAUCCUGUGAUCCUGGAGGUCCAGGUCAUCCCCAGCACAUGUCACAAUGGAGCAGGGGACCGGCAGCAUCUGUUGCUAGAGGGCCAUGCUCCCAAAAGAGCACCUGGAAAGACUCGGGAGGGGAUGAUUAGACAGAUAGCUGUCCCAAGUAUCUGGACUUGCGUCUUGGAGUCACGCCACGGGUGAUGCUGUUGCAUGGCAGGCAGAGUUUGAUGCUCCCCCACCCUUUGUCCCCUGCAAGGCACGGAUGUGGUUCCCACAUCCUCUGCUCACACCAAUCCUUGGGCUAUGCUGACCCCUCCUGGGCUGUGGCCUGUACAAGCAGCAUCCUUGCCUCUUUUUCUCUUACAAAACAGAAAAUGAGAUCCUUACUGGUCUGCAAAGGGCUUCUCCCUUCUCUCCAGGGAGCCUGCAGGCAUGGCUUAGCCUCGAUGCUUCCAGCUCACUGCCCUCCAGCCUUUGGUCCUCCAAAACAGGAAGGUCGCAGAGCAGAUGUAUUUGUUGGGUUUUCCCCCUCUAGUUCUACCUUCCCAGAGCGAUAAUAGUAGAACAGUGCUCCUGGAUUAUGAUCAAACCCCACCAGGCAAUGGGCGCUUCUGGAUGGUCAUGGGCUCUGCAACAUGAAGUGAACAGAUGUGACCAGGCUGCAGAAGGAGGGGACAUACUGAGUUUCCAACUCCUCAGACCCUCCUCUCCACCAACUCACUCGUUUCAGUUGCUGCCCUCAAGUGAGAUAAUGAACUCCAAAGUAGCACACAGACAGAAACAGGAACUCAAACGAGAGCUCUAACAGCGGCUGUUGAAUAAAUCAUUAAAAGUAAGUGCCAGACUUCAGAGAUCAUUUGCAGGAGAAGUCUAAAUCCAUACCUGCAGCUCCUCAUUGAGCUGUUGCUUUUGGAGGUAAUUUACCGUCAUCUCCACAGGCAGCUGCAUACUCAACGGCUCACUAAACACAGAGACCAUGGAUGCACCAAGGUCCAGGGCAGACUACUUGCACAUGUGUUUGUCCACAAUUUGAGCCCUCAGAGCUGCCAUUCAGGAGCAUUUGGCUGAAGUUACUUCAAGCCAACGCCUCCCUUUCUAUUCAUGGGAGAUGCGUUAAAGGAUGAAGACCAAGAGCUGUUGAGAAAUGCAGUGUUUUAAGGUUUGUGGAAGGGGUAGCCACCUGUCUGCUUAUGGUGUGGUAAAGUGCUGCUAUAUUGUGCAUUUAUGGGCAUUAAAAAUCGCCGAGCACUGUUCAGAGAUAUCUUCAAGUAGCUUAUAAACACACAAAGCAAUGCUAUCCAUUUCCAUGCAUCAGUACUUUACCCUGAGUGGAAAAAUGAAUGUGUCUUGACAAGGAGCUACCUCAAAUCUCAGUUGCU